AACGAACGCUGGCGGCAUGCCUAACACAUGCAAGUCGAACGAGACCUUCGGGUCUAGUGGCGCACGGGUGCGUAACGCGUGGGAACCUGCCCUUAGGUUCGGAAUAACUCCCCGUAAGGGGUGCUCAUACCGGAUAAUGUCUUCGGACCAAAGAUUUAUCGCCUUUGGAUGGGCGCGCGUUGGAUUAGCUAGUUGGUAGGGUAAAAGCCUACCAAGGCGACGAUCCAUAGCUGGUCUGUGAGGAUGAUCAGCCACACUGGGACUGAGACACAGCCCAGACUCCUACGGAAGGGAGCAGUAGGGAAUAUUGGACGAUGGGCGAAAGCCUGAUCCAGCAAUGCCGGGUAAGUGAUGAAGGCCUUAGGGUUGUAAAGCUCUUUUACCCGAGAUGAUAAUGACAGUACCGGGAGAAUAAGCUCCGGCUAACUCCGUG
rnacentral:rRNA from 1 species